GACGAACGCUGGCGGCGUGCUUAACACAUGCAAGUCGAACGGAAAGGCCCUGCUUUUGUGGGGUGCUCGAGUGGCGAACGGGUGAGUAACACGUGAGUAACCUGCCCUUGACUUUGGGAUAACUACAGGUAACUGGGGCUAAUACCGGAUAGGAGCUCCUGCUGCAUGGUGGGGGGUGGAAAGUUUCGGCGGUGGGGGAUGGACUCGCGGCUUAUCAGCUUGUUGGUGGGGCAGUGGCUUACCAAGGCUUUGACGGGUAGCCGGCCUGGGAGGGUGACCGGGCACAUUGGGACUGAGAUACGGCCCAGACUCCUACGGGAGGCAGCAGUGGGGAAUAUUGCACAAUGGGCGGAAGCCUGAUGCAGCAACGCCGCGUGCGGAAUGACGGCCUUCGGGUUGUAAACCGCUUUCGCCUGUGACGAAGCGUGAGUGACGGUAAUGGGUAAAGAAGCACCGGCUAACUACGUG
rnacentral:rRNA from 1 species